rnacentral:rRNA from 1 species
GUGGGGAAUCUUAGACAAUGGGGGAAACCCUGAUCUAGCCAUGCCGCGUGAUCGAUGAAGGCCUUAGGGUUGUAAAGAUCUUUCGCUGGGGAAGAUAAUGACUGUACCCAGUAAAGAAGCCCCGGCUAACUCCGUGCCAGCAGCCGCGGUAAUACGGAGGGGGCUAGCGUUAUUCGGAAUUACUGGACGUAAAGCGCACGUAGGCGGACUGGAAAGUUGGGGGUGAAAUCCCGGGGCUCAACCUCGGAACUGCCUUCAAAACUCCCAGUCUUGAGUUCGAGAGAGGUGAGUGGAAUUCCGAGUGUAGAGGUGAAAUUCGUAGAUAUUCGGAGGAACACCAGUGGCGAAGGCGGCUCACUGGCUCGAUACUGACGCUGAGGUGCGAAAGCGUGGGGAGCAAACAGGAUUAGAAACCCGGGUAGUCC